rnacentral:rRNA from 1 species
ACGGACUGUUGGCCUUCGGGACAACAGUUAGUGGCGAACGGGUGAGUAACGCGUGGGUAACCUGCCCUUGUAUCGGGGAUAACUUGCCGAAAGGUGAGCUAAUACCGGAUUCUCUAUUGAGAUUGCAUGAUCUUAAUAGAAAAGGUGGCCUCUGAAUAUGCUACCGUAUAAGGAUGGACCCGCGUCUGAUUAGCUAGUUGGUGAGGUAACGGCCCACCAAGGCGACGAUCAGUAGCCGGCCUGAGAGGGUGAACGGCCACACUGGGACUGAGACACGGCCCAGACUCCUACGGGAGGCAGCAGUGGGGAAUCUUCCGCAAUGGACGAAAGUCUGACGGGGCAACGCCGCGUGAGUGAAGAAGGUCUUCGGAUUGUAAAACUCUGUUUUUUGGGAAGAACGGCUCAUAUGUGAAUAAUGUAUGGGAUUGACGGUACCAAAGGAGGAAGCCCCGGCUAACUACGUGCCACGCCCC